AGAUUCUCUCUCUCUCUAAAGUAGAAGAGGGAGGAGGAGAAGAAGAAGAAGAAGACGAAGAAGAAGACGAAGGGAAGAAAUUCUCUCUCCCAUGGAGUGGACGUUACUUCUAUCAUUUCAGGGAGAGAUAGAAAAUCUUAAAACUUGUUGGAAGCGAUGCAGGAGUACCUUCCACAAUACUUUAUGUCUGUUUUCUGCAUAUACACUCAGAAAAACAUUGCUUCUUGUGGAAACGUGGGAGGAAAAAGGAACGGAAGGAGACAGCCGUUGGAAAGACUGGAGGUAAGACCGAGGGAUGAGACCAGGGAAAAGGGCAAGCAUUAUGUUCUGUUCCUAGAUAAGAGUUCUAGCUGAACAGUUUCCUCAUCAGCCCCUGUGUCAACUGAGAGGUCAGGACCCUGACACUUGCUUUCUGGUGGGUCAGCAGGACGACAAAACACCCCACAAAGGAUUGCCAACCACCGCGUCAGGAAACCGCUUCCACAUUGUGACAGAUGAGAACCUCUCAACCCCCCCCCCCCCCCGAUCAGAAGGGUCGCAGAGGGUCCUGGGGGUGGGGGAAGCGGUCUCAUAUGCACUAAGGGCACAGAAAGAACCCAUCCUCCUGUGCGUUCUUGGCUGCAUGGAAGAAAUCAUAAGCGACUCGUGAACCUCACGGAGUGUGUGUUCCAGCAAUCCGUGGGGUCAACAGUAUUCUUUCAGCAUUCCUCCUCUGUGCCACCAGAGACCAGAGAGGGCCUGUGGAUGGGGACAAGUACCGAGCUCCAGGAAGAAUCCCGAAAACAUCACAAUUUUUUUUCUGCCUGGAGGAGAAGCAGCAUUGUCUUUUAGCCCUUUUACCACACAGAUGAGCUUUACA